GAAGAAUCAGCCUUGUGGGCAAGAGGAGGAGGAUUGCAUUAGCCAGUAGGCAGCACCCUUUGCUGGCAGAGAGAGAAAUCUGAGCCUCAGCCGCGCCAGCCAGGAGCAGGCUUUGCACAAAACUAUCUGGUUUCAAGUUGCUGUCUCCGGAGUCCCUGGGAAGGUGCCCCAGGGACAGGACUCCCUUUGCAGGGCCCUGAGGAUAGAUGAGAAUUCCUCAUCCCCAGCCACCAGAAAAACAAGCAGGGGGGCGGGGCAAAACCUGAAACCUGGGCUUCCUUAUGAAUGUCUGAGAAGAGAAUAAAGAAAGAAAGUGAGUGCGGUUUAGAGUUACAGUCGUGGUGAAGCACAGCUACAAUCCCCUGUUCUCAGAAGAGAAGCAAGAAGACCUCAAAUUCAAGGCUGGUCUAGCUGCCCAGUGACACGCGCAUCAAAAAACCAGACCAAACCAAAACAUCCAACGGUAGGUAGUUCAGCUCGUUGACUAGGAGUAUGCCAAAGGCCAUAACUUCUGACCUUCCAGGUCAUCACGAUAAUGUGGGAAAUUAAAAGAAUUCCCAUGUUUCAUCCCGAAGAGCCAAAUUCACGUCAGCUGAAUCUGAAAUUGUGAAACUCCGCCUGGCAUGACUGCACCAUUUUUGUUUUUUUAAAUGCAUACAACACAGAGCAUCAUCAUAAAUGGGACUAUUUUUCUGAUUUCUUUCUUGGCACGUUGUCUUUCAGUGUCUUCUAUGUUGAUUUUGCAUCCUGCUACUUUGCUGUCAGUGUUAUCAGUUCUAAGUUUUUUUUUUUUUCUCUCUUUCUUCUUUUUUUCCCCACAAAGUCCUUAGGGUCUUUAACACACAAAAUACACUGUUUAUUUACAAAUAUGCUAAAAAUUAGUCAUUCUUCAAGAAGCAGUUCCAGGAAAACUAGGUAUCCAGAUGUAGGAGAAAGGAACUAGAUCUCAUCUCUCAUACUGUAUAGAAAUCAACUCAAAAUGUGCCAAAGAUGCUAUGCAAGACCUGGAAUUCUGAUUGUGUUAGAGCAAAACAUAAGGAGGAUAUAUCAAGAUACAGAUACAGGAAAAGACUUUCUGAAAAGGACUUUAGCAGCUAGAAGAAUAAAAUCAAGAACUCACAAAUUAUUUUGCAACACUAAGAGGCAUCUGUACAACAAAGGAGAUAAUCUAAUGAGGAGACAACAGAGAGAGCAAGAGGAAAUCUUUGCCAGCUACAUGUCUCACAGAAAUUUAACACCUAGACUGCAUAAAGAACUGAAAAUGUCGAACACUCUGAAGCCAAACAUCUCAAGUGAUGAAUGAAAUGAAGAGACAGUUCACAAAGAGUUCAUCAGUGAAGUACAAACAGCCAACGAACAAGUGAAAAAAUAGUUAGCAUCCUUUGCCAUCAAGGACAUUCAUAUUAAAACUACUUUGAGAUUCAUUUCAUCUUGCCUCAGUCAGAAUGACCAUCGUCAUGAAAACACUCAAUUAUCACACCAUGGUACAAAAUUCUAUAUAUUUAUGACAUACAAUAUGAUUUAACAUAGGUGAAUAUGGAAUGUACAGACUCAACACAUUAACAUAUAUGUCUGCUCGAAGAAAAUAGCUGGCAGAUGCAAAUUAGGUCUUGGUUUCAUGGAGGACAUGGAAGGUCCUCUGUAGUGUUGGGAACUUGGACUGUGACUUGUGACAUUGCCACACAGAGGAAAGGGGGUCUGCUUUUAAACCUGAAGGUUCACCCUGAUAGCAACCCACAUCUUCCAGGGAAGCCCUGUUUUCCAGUGCCUCACGAUCUCCCAGAGCAGUGCUAGCAUCUAAGAAAACAAACUAAACCGAAGGUGUUUUCUUCUAAUAUAUUUGUAUUUGGUUGAUUUAAAUUAUUCUUUGUGUUAUUGCUUAGCAUUAUUUAUUUUGCAUCUGGGGAGUUUUUUUUUUUUUUUGUUAUCUACUGAGGAGCCUGUUUUUCCCAUAGGUUAUUCUUGACACCUUUGGCAAAGACUUUCAUCUCCAUUUCCUUAUGUAUGUGGGUCUCUGCCAUGCACCAUUAGCCCACAUGUCUGUUUGUUGUGCCUUAUUAUUUAUUUUGAUUUCUGUAGAUUUAAAUGUUACUUUCUCUACACUGUAAAUCCAAGAGUUGUGCUGCCUCUAACUUUGUUCUUUUAUGUAAAAUUUUUCUUGAAGCUGCUUGAAAUAUUUUGUAGUUUCAUAAAAUGUUUGAUAUUUUUCUACCUUUGUGAAAAAUAUUAGAAUUUUCAGAGUGACAGCAUCAUAUCUGUAUAUUACUUUGAGUAGUGUGAGUAUUUUAAUUACCUGUAUAUAACUUUGGGUAGUAUGACCAUUUUAUUUUAAUUACACUUUCAUAUUUAUUCAUCUUUGUGCAUAUAUGUACAAACAUAUGUGUCAUGGAAGACAUGAGAAGGUCAGAAGACAACUUGGAGGAGUUGAUUUUCUCUUUCCAACAAUUGUGUUCCUGGAAUUGAAAUUAAGUCCUCAGCCUUGAUAGCAAAAAACCUUCACCCUCUGGACAACCCUGCUCACCCAGAAAUUAAAAAAAAAAUCAUUUCUUCAAAUCCAUGAUAAGGGGCAUAUAUCAUUUGUUUAUAUUCUAUUUACUUUCUUUCACUAGUCUGUUAAUGUACAGAAAUGCUACUGAUAUUUGUACACUGAAUCUGUAUCUUAUAACAGGGUUUAAAAAAUUAUUUUACUUCCCCCCCCCCCGAAGGAGGAGUAGCCUUGCUAGGCCACAGAAGAGGACACUGCAGCCAGUCCUGAAGAGACCCGAUAAGCUAGGGUCAGAUGGAAGGGGAGGAGGUCCUCCCCCAUCAAUGGACUUGGAAAGGGGCAGGAAGGAGAUGAGGGAAAGAGGGUGGGAUUGGGAGGGAGUGAGGGAGGAGGCUAUGGCUGGGAUACAAAGUAAAUAACCUGUGAUUAAUAUAAAAAAUAAAAAAUAUUUUAACAGUUUUCUUUAGACUUCUAAAGCUUUCUAUGUGUAGGAUUAUAUCAAUAUAACUUUUCCCUUUUAACUUGUAUGCCUUAGAUUUAAUUAUUUAAUUUUCUUUUUCUUAUUGCUUUCUCUAGUACUAGCACUCUGUUGAAAAGUAGCACCACAAAUGAACAUUCCUGUGUUGUUCUGAUGCCAGAGGAAAACAAAAGCUUUGUGCUUUUAACAGUUGAGUAGGAUGUUGCCAUGAGCAUAUCAUAUACAACCUUUGUUAGGUUAAGAUACAUUAUUACUUCUGUACUUUGCUGAUAAGAGCAUAAAGGGAUGUUGAACUUUGUCAAUUCUUUUUUGCUCCCUAUUGAGGUGAUCAUAUAGUUUUUUUAAAGAUUUGUUUUUAUUUAUUAUGUAUACAAUGUUCUAUCUGCUGUACACCUGCAUGACUGAAGAGGACACCAGAUCUCAUUAUCUGAGCCACAUGGUUGUGAGCCACCAUGUGGUUACUGGGAAUGGAACUCAAGAUCUUUGGAAGAGCAGUCAGUGCUCUUAACCUCCGAGCCAUCUCUCCAGCCCGAUCAUACAGUUUUUGUCCAUUUUAUUACAAUAUCGCAUUUAUUGAUUGGCAUGUGUAGAGCCAUUUGUAUUAGUUUGCUGUGACUAAAUAUCCCAUGAGAAGCAACUUAAGAGGGAGCAAGUUUAUUCCAGCUCACAAUGAAGGGCUACACCGCCCUCCGAGGGAAAGAAAUGUAAUGGCAGUAGCACGAGGCAGCUGGCCACAUCGUUUCUGCGGUAAGGAAGAGAAGAGUAGACAGCAGGCUGGAAGUGAGACAGGACGUAAAAUCAUCCUCCCACAGUGACCUGCUUCCUGCAACAAGAAUCUGCCCCCUAAAAGUUCCACAGCCUUCUGAACAGCAUCCUCAGCUGAGGAUCAAAUAUUUCAACACCGGAGCCUAUGGGGACUUUCUGUAUUAAAACUAUGGCAUCCCUUCUUUGGCCCUCAUAGACACAUGGCAAUCUCAUACUUCAAAAUACAUUCUUUCCAACUUAAAAUGCCCUACGGUCUUGAACACUCCUGUUGCGAACGUUUUGCUUUAUGAUAUGUAAAUGUAUGUUUAUGAUAUGUAUACGUGUUUUUGUUACAAUUUCAGGUUGGGGAUUUCAGUGUGUCUAUACCUGUUAAGUCUCUCCUGCGGAGCAUGGUCUUUGCCAGGUGGAAUUAGUUGAAUUCUGAGGACUUUGAGGGGAAUAAAUACAGCUCAGAGGAAGAAGGCGUGGGUGCUUGGGGGAGGACUGCUUGCUGCUGGUUCAUCCUUUGCUGCUGUUUUUUGCUGUUUGCUGAUUUGCUGGUUACCUCUACUUCUGAAUUAUUAUUAUUAUUUUUUGGUAUUGGUAUUGCCCCCCAAAGAAUCCUGCAACCCUACGCAGCGGAAAGUAGCAGAGUGAACUCUGUUCCCUGUUCCCAUCUGUUUCCAGGUAUUUUCUUCUAGUAGACAUGUAUGUUAGUGUGUUGGGGGUUGGAAGGGAGGUAGAAGUGGUUAAGAACCCUAAAUAAAAUAGGUUUGAUAAAAAAAAUCUAGGUCAACGCAGUCCAAAGUCUGUCCAAAGGUCAAAAGUCUCUUCUGUGACUCAAGGCACUCUCCUAAUUGUGAUUCUCUGUUACAUGAAAACAAUAGCAGCAGCAGCAGCAAAAACAACAACAACAACAACAACAACGUAUAUACUUUCAACAUACAAUGACCCAAAGUCAACAUUACCAUUCCAAAAGGAAGGAAUGGGGUAUAACAAGGAAAGAUCAAAUCCCAUUAAGACAAACAAGGAUACUUCACUCAGAAUGAUCUUUUCUAGAUCCCACCAUUUGCCUGCAAAUUUCAUGAUUUCCUCUUUUUUGAUUGCUGAGUAGUAUUCCAUUGUGUAAAAAUACCACAAUUUCUGUACCCAUUCCUCCAUUGAUGGACAUCUGGGUUGUUUCCAGGUUCUGGCUAUUACAAAUAAAGCUGCUACAAACAUG